rnacentral:lncRNA from 1 species
AUUUUAUUUUUCUCUAAUUAUAAUUCAUUUCAUGGAUUGAAGUUGGAGAAUUUUUGUAUUUUAAUUUCCGGGGAACCGUUUACUGAGAGCUUACAAUGAAGGGCCGCCGGACGUGUGCUCAAAUGAAGGAAUUUAACCCUGGGUGCCAGGGACUUGGCAUGACUCCUCAGACAGGCUGGGAGGGGCAUCCUCGGGGCCAUAGUGGGGGAGGGGCCUGAAGCUCUGUUGGGGGGCAGUGCCCAAGGUCACUGGGGAGCCCGGAGGAUGUGCUCCAUGCUUCAGCCGACACCUUUCACCACCCCAGGUGUGUUCUGCAGAGGACGAAGAGCCUCCGGGAGCGGCGGUCUCUCACCCAGGGUGUGUGCAAGGAAAACAGAGCUUUGAUUUAUAUGUAAUUUACAUUGUAUCCUAAACACUUAAAAAAUUGAGGUCAUAUUUUUUAAUGUACAUAAUAUAUUAGUACAUUCAUAGGUGUAAUAAUACACAUAUUUAGGGGGUGUAUUAAAAUAGUUUUUACUGAUCAGGGGUGCAUUUGAGUUUAGCAAAGAGGAGUGUAGAUGCCAGGGAGUGACACACUGCAUGAACCCUGUGUGAA